AUCCCAUGGUGAGGGCAUUUGUGUAGUAGCUCUUUGAAUCUCUUCCAUGCCUCAUAUAAGGAUUCAUCAUCCAACUGCUGAAAAGUUGUGAUCUCAUUCCACAACUU
rfam:Gossypium raimondii chromosome 5, whole genome shotgun sequence.